rnacentral:lncRNA from 1 species
GGCUUUUUGCCUCCUACCUUUGCUCUGGGCCCAGAGCUCCCCAAUGAUGACACGGGAGGUUUGUGCAAAGAUCUAAAGUCGAGAAGGAUUAGUUUAAAGAGUCAGAUGGAAAAGGACACAAAUGAAAAUGCCUUCUGCAUGAGCCUGAAAACCAAAACUUAGCAAUGAGCGAUUCUAGCUUCGGAGGCUGUGACAAGUGAUUGCAAAGGAGGGAAGUUUCCAGUCACUUCACAGCAGGUAGGGCAGUGGCUGGAGAAGCACUGUGGGAUUUCUUACUCAACGGGACUUCCUGGUUCUUGAGGAAGCUUUGGAAGGGGGGAGUGUGGGAUAUAUGUAAGGGUCUUUGUUUUAUAUAUAUAUAUAUAUAUAUAUAUAUAUAUAUAUAUAUAUAUAUAUAUUUGAUAUUUGAAGUUUACAGGGGCAAAUCUUCCAGAUGCUGCUUCCUUCUAAGUCAUUUAUUUUGGUGACAAUGUAUUUGAAGGCUAAUAGUUGAACAGCACUAUUAUUGACACAGUAUAGGACACCAAAAUGUGCAAGACAGGGUACCAGAGCUCCACUGGUGGAGUUUACAAGCCAUACAGGGUACAGCAGAAGUAUGAAAUAUUCAGAAAGUAAAGUCCCUUGAGGGAAAGGAGAGAUCCCUUUGGCUAAGAUCAAGGGAGAGAUAAUAAAGGGAGGGUAGGUUGGUCUCUAGCCUUUAGAUACAACACAUGAGCUGGUGCUUAGGGAGAGGGGAGGAGAGAAGAGUUUGAGAAGGCUUCCAUUGUUGCCAUAGGCUUUGGUUAGGAGAAUCUUAGAAAUGCAUCGAGUCUGCCCUGCUGGCACAGGAACACAUCCCAAGACUCCCAGGUCCUCUCUAUUCCACAUACGGCCAUUUGGACCCUGGGACUUUUCUUAUUUGCUGGGUCCAGCCAGUUCUCCCUGGAAUCCACCCCCAGACAGCUAUUAGAACUGAUCAUGUAAAAGACACAUUGAUUCAUACACACGGGCACACACGGGAGGACUAAGCUGGCCACUGUCCCACCCCACCGUCCCCGAGUCUGGAUGGGGCUGGGCUGCCCAUGGACAGUGGAUUCCAGCCUGCUGUGCAGGGAGCUAACUUUCUGCAGUGUCUAUUAUCUCAUGGAGGAAGGGAAAAGAGGGCACAAAAUGAAUCUCUCUCCGUGUCAGAAAUCCUAACAAGGAUGCACAAUGGCCUGCUUUCCCCCAGCCUGGUGACAGAAUUUGCAUCUGCCACAAAGGGGAACGGGAUCUCCUGUCUAUCCAAAGCUUCCAAUCUGUUCUGGUUCUUUCUUUCCUCCUCGGAGGCGGGCAGAGGUGGCACUACACAUCAUCUUCCUGGGAGUUGCAUACAAGGUGGUGCAGGAAGGGAGGAAUGGCCCUCCCCGUCCCCUGGCUGUCUCCUAUGGGAGGGGGACAAAGAGAAGAGAGGGGCAUGGGGAAGCCCCCCAAGAGCGGCUUCCUCCCUGCACCGAGUCUCUCAUCUCUGUGUGCCACCCCCAGCCCCCUCUAAAUCAAGUAAUUGGCAUGUACAGAUUGAUCAGUAGCAGCGUGUGGCACGCUCAACAGAAGGAUCAGCUGUGGCAUAUGUACAGCUGGGCAAACCUGGCACGUAGGUGUUUCAGCCGGUGUUCGGGAGCUAGCUAUCCAUCAGCAGCCAUCUUGUUGUGUUUGUUCAUUUAAGCAUCCGCAGAUGGGGGGGGGCAGAGAGAGAGAGAGAGAGAGAGAGAGAGAGAGAGAGAAAGAAUUUCAACAUCCUCUCCCCUUACAGAUCUGCCCUGAGGGUUACAAUCUUCUUUCCCACUCUAAGCACUCUCGGCCAUAUUAGGUUCUAUUUUUGCACCCCUUCUUCAACUGCGAUGAGGAUUGCUUUGGCAUCAGAGGUACCACCUGCCGUAUGUUCUUUAGUUCCUGUUUGCUGUAAAGCUUGCUUUGGGUCUUGGGUACCUUCACAGCUCAUUCUCUGCAAGGGAAAGCAGCAUUUCGGUCUUGAGGUAACUCCCCAUAGGUCGCCAGCUUCCUCUAGAUGGAACUCUGCCCUGCUGAGCCUCUGUGAGGAUCCGCUGCUGUCUCUAGCUUUAGCAUUUCUCUGUGUCUAACAGGCAACAGCCUUGAGAACACAGAUCCUGGAGGAGGGAGAAGAGUCUAGCUGAACACUGCCAUGCGGGGAAAGGGGGAGCCAUUUUCAAGUCUUCCUGAAUGUUCGGUUGCAAACUUGAGAUUCUGAUUGUGGUGAAGCUUCAAGCAGGUGAAAACAUGAGAUGAAAGGAAAUGAAGUGACUACUGACAGACCAGACUGCUGAAUGACUUAAUCAGGAGAAAAAUCAAUGCGUCCAAGGCGGCCGCCCCCAGCAAAAAUCAAUGGGGGAGAGGGCUGCUGGCCUCCACCCCUCCUAUGUUUGUAUCUGCCCCCCAGACCACCCAGAACUCUUCCUGUCCUACCCAUGCCUUGUCCAAAAUGCUAACUUAGUCUGUCGUUUAGCUACUCCUUGAAUAUUUUAUGGAAAUCUAGUCUCUUACCCUGAAUUAAUAAAGACAGGACCACUAUGAUAAUGAACAACCUCAAAUUGCAUAGGAUUAACAUAGCUAAAAGUUGAACUCUCUCCUCUACUGAGAUGAGUAUGGAUAUUUCUCUUCUGGCAGGUUUUGUGGGUGGCUCUGCUCCAAGUCAUGACUCAGGGAUCCAGGCUUCUCUCAUCUUGAGAUGUCUCCAACUUUAGCCCAGAGGCCUCCCCGGUGACUGUAGAAUAGAAUAGAAUGGAGAAGGCUCAUUAGGUACUCAAUCAUCUUGGCCUGAAAGCAACACUUACUACUUUUGUUCACAUUUCUUUGGCCUGUGUUCAAAGCACUUGGCCCCAAGUAGAUGUGAGGAGUUUGGAAAAUCAAACCCUUGGUAGAUAUCUUCAGAAUCUAGAUGGUUGGUUCUGCCACAUCUCUCCUCCCCUAAAUAAUAUCCUCAUCCUCUGAUGAACAAAACAGACUCCUAGGUCCUCCAACUGGAAAUUGCUUCUACAUUUCUACCUACUCUGAGACUUCUUUUUAAUAAGACUAAUUUCUACUUGCCCUUAUCUGGUAUAGCCAUUCCACUAUUUCUUUCUUCUUGUUGUCUUUAAACUUUUUAGGAUCUAUUUUCCUGUGUCUUUGUUCUCUUUGGUUUUUCUCUACAACUUUUCCAGUUUCUAUGCCAGUACUUUUGUUUCUUGUCCUUAAGGCAAAUCAUAUGCCUUAGUUGUUCAGGACCAUAUCCUAUUGUGGGCAGAUUUAAGUUCUAAUUAAAUAAAAUUUUGGAGAUUAAAGCUACAGGUGUCAUUAAAGUUAUUAUUUUUUUUUAUUUAUACUGGUCUUCUAGGACUUCGAGGGUACCUGAAAUAUUUUGCAUACAGUGCCACCUGAAAUCUCAGGGACGAGCAGGUGACCUGGCCAAGGCAUGGAUACUUGACAGUGCCCAGCUCAGAUCUCACCCAUGAUCUUCCUCUGUAGAUGCUCAUUGGAUUUAAAGUGGCAGGAUGCUGGGGAUUAUUAUAGAAGUAAGAGGUUUUAUUCCUUUACGGAGAGGCUAUAGCUUUCCUACCUGUUCAACAAAUCAUCUUUACUUUUCAUUAAUUCUUUCUUUAUAAAUUACUCUAAAUGAGAUCAUGAUACCCCCCUACCCCCCUAUUGAAGCUGUAUGGGUCUCAUGAAUAGCAUCACAACAGCCAUACUCUUCUGAUGUUUAGGGACCUUCAAAAGCUAAAAAAUCCCCUGCCUGUGAAUCAUUCAAUCAUCUACUGAAGAAAUGUGUCCACUGACCACUCCUAUGUGUACCCUUGUAGGAACCAAAGAAAUGAAGGUGGUUAAACAGGGUCUUUGACUCAAAGAGGCCAUCGUCUCAUGAAGGCGAUAGAUAGAAGUGAAGAGAUACAGUUUUGAUAAAAUGUAAGCUCUAUCUUUUUCCUUUGUUCAAAGAUACCAGCAUGGUGCAAAAUGAAAAUUGCUUAGUUCUAUUUAGAAGGGAGGAGAUUGGAGAAGAUUUUGCUUUGUGGGGAAUUUGAUGCUUCAGUUGGGUCUUUGGGAAAUGAGAAUUUUUCUCUAUAAACAAGAUGAUAUGAAAAGAACAAUCUAGUCCAUAAGAAUAGCAUUUGCAAAGAAAGACAGGCAUAAAUUAGUACUGAAUAAUACAAUAAUAAUAAUAAUAAAAUCUCCAUGGAGUAGAAGUUUAGGGAGUAGAUGUGGCCCCAAAUGUGGAAGGCUGGGUAGUGACAAAAACAGAUUAGGUAGAAAGAAAGAGUCCUGAUUGCCAUGGGUUAGGGUCCAAGGAAGCUUGACAAAAGGGCGGAGAAGGCAUGCCACUCUUCGAAGUAGCUCUUACUAUGAAGAGAAAGCCCAGUGUGACCCUCCAGACUGUUCUCAUGCUUUCUAUUGUCUGCCCAUACCUGCAUCCCUUUUGUUCCAAAAGCCCUUUCCUAUUUUAUGCCUUUGCAAGUAUCUGUGGUAUCUUCUCCGUGUCCCAAACCUUGCUGACUCUUUCUCACACAUUCUAUCCCAUGCUGAUGACAGUUAAGGUGCCUACAACCUACCUGGUAACCAUGCAGUCAAACUCUAGCUCAUGUAGAACGGGCCCGCAGACCACCUGGUCCUGACUUGUUACUAAUUGUUUUGUUUGAAGAACUUUUUUCUCUCCAACUAUAUUGAACAUUCUUCAGUGGAGUGGAGUGAGUCAUCCUCCACAAAUUGUGUCUCCCAUCAGACUUAGCAGAGUGCUGACCACUUAGGAAAUUUCAAGUACAUAGUUAUUGAUUAACUUCAAAGGAAUACUUGGAAGGUCAUCUUGGGGUUACCUACAUUAGAAUUGCCUUUGGUGGUUGUUAGAAUGCAGAUACCAGGGGCCCUGUCCAAGGGCUACUAUGUCAGCCUUCUGAAGGGACAUCUGUGUGCAUAUAUGUGUAUAUAUAUAUAUAUAUAUAUAUAUAUAUAUAUAUAUAUAUAUAUAUAAACAUUUAUUUAUUAGUUAUACUUGGAUACAAUACCUUUAUUUUAUUUAUUUUUAUGUAGUGCUGGGCCUCACAUGUGCUAGGUGAGUGCUCUACUGCUGAGCCACAACCCCAACCCACAUCUGCAUAUAUUUAAUAGGGGACCUAGAUGAUUUAUUUUUUGACAUGGCAAUUUGAGAAUCAGUGGCCUAUAGUAGGAGUUGGCAAACUCUUCCUGUAAAGGGCCAUAUAGUCAAUAAUUUCAGCUUUGUGGCUCAACUAUAGUCUGUGUUGCAUAUUCUUCUUUCUUUUACAACUUUUUUAAAAAAUGUAAAAACCAUUCUUAGUUUUUUAGGCUGUAUAAAAUGGGCCACGGGUUGGAUUUGCCCCAUGGGCUAUAGUUUAUUGAACUCUGGCCCCAAAGAGGGGCUCCUUCACCUCCAGAGACUUCAGAGACAUGGGAAUUCCGGUGGUUUCAGGUGUGGACCAUCCAGAGAUAAAGCUCCUCAUUGGUUCUCUGCAGGGAGCAGCAUUUCCUUACUCUAGAAUUUCCCCCUUGUACCCUGGCAUCAUGGGAAUGAGCCUAGCCUUCCUGGGGGAUGUCCUCUCAUGAACAUUUGGUUCUUUCUGCCCGUUCCUGGGACCCACACCCCUUGGCUUGCUUGUGUUAGGUCUUUAACAGGCUCUCUCAGUAGGGCACUAAUAUGGGUUGGUGAGGCACUGAGGCUGGAUCGAAGGCUGGGGAGCUGUCAUCUCCCAGCCUGCAUAGUUAGCAGAUUGCUUUCUGCAGAGGUCUAAAUGUCAGCUUCUAAAUGGCUCAGGACUACCUGUCCAGUCCCCCCUCCACCUGUCCCUGUUUUAGGUUCACCCUGGGCCUUUUCUUAGGUGAAAUUAGAAGCCCCACCCCACCUUCUCACUCACAGGAAGAGGUUGACAGUGGUGAAGAGAUCGUUCUCCUCAUGUGGCUCCUUGGUGAGGUGUGAAUUUGCACAAGAUGAUUCAAUAUAUUUUCCUGUGUGUUCUUCAGUACAUUCCUGCUGCCCAGUGCAUUUCUGACAUUUCCGUGUGCUGCUCUAAGCUGCCCAUGACCCUGACCCCGACUGUGGCUUUUAAGCAAGGAGAGCCAGAAUAAACACAUACAAAUCGUCCUUUGCAGAGCACGUCUGUGCCCGGGCAGCCCUCGGUUGUGUGUCGUGUUCCGUCCUCCACGGGCUGUGAUGAAAGACUCACUGGCUAUCCUUCCAAGUUGGUUUAUAAGUCCUGCCUGCAGGCAGGGGUGGACAGGAUGACCCCUCCAGUCCCAUCCAGUCUUGGGAUCCUGUGAUUUCUCACGUGAGUCCACUUUGUGCUCGGGGGCUCAUGCACAUCAAUUAAAAACACAACAGUUUAUGCUUCUACAGGAGGGAGGAAAAUGAACCAUAACAGUCUUCCUAUCUGAACCAGACCUCAUUUUUCCAAGUCACCACCUUACUCUCAUCUGUAAAGCGCUAAAUAGCCUGAGACCCAGUUAUCUUUGUGACAAUCUCUCCCCAGGUGCCCUAUCCUGGUAAUUAUGCUCAGCGGGAAUGCUCUAGCUGCCCAUCUCUGGAGUUAAACUCAUUAAGACAGGAGGCUGAGAAAUCUCCACAGAGGGUCCCCACCUUGAAAUGAUGGGCGCGCUCUCCUUCCUAGGCUACUGGGAUUGGGGUUUGGAGUUUGGGGUCCGGAUUGCCACAGAGCUUGCUUAACCUGGAUUUGCUGCCCUGAAUUGUGCUUUGGGGAAGAUGCUUACUACGGGGUCAGGAGAGAGGAAGAGCAGAAAGGAGGCCACAAGGAGUUGCCAUAUUAUGAAAUGAAAUGCAGAUGGCAACAAAGCCAAAAUGUUGCUUUUUCCAAAUUGUGAAUACAAGGACCAUGUUGAUUUUUCUCAACUUAAAAGCUGAUUCCCCUCUACGACACAUCAGAAGAUGGGACAUUUUCCCCCUGUGCUGAGAAAGUAUACGUCUUAAGAACUUGGGUAGGGUACUGAUCGGGCUGGAGGCAGAAGGCCACUUGAGACAUGGGAGAAGGGACAUGGCUCUGCAUCAGAGAAGGGCAGGGAAGGGAAGAUGCUUACAGAGAUGGCCCUGGCUGGAGGUCAUGGAGCAGAGAUCAAGGUUAGGGGCAGGAUAGGGGCUGGGAGGGAGAGGGAGAGCAGGAAGGAGUACAAACAAUAUCCAGGGCCAAAGCUCUCAAUGGAUUGGUAUGGUUAAGGGAAGACAUUCCCUUCUAAUUAAUUAGUGAAAAGGAAAGGAAGUUGCUAGAAGGAAAGCAGAGUUAGUUAGCUUUCCAAGACUGUAACUGAAGACCUGAGAUCAAUUAAGUUGGUGACUUAAUAAAAGAAAAGGUUUAUUUUUGGCUCACAGUUUUAGAGUCUUCAAUCUAUGGGCAGUUGGCUGUGUGGUUUUUUGGGCCAGGCAGACCAUUGGCCCCGAAGGGGACAGCAUGGUUGAGCUACCUGCUCACCUCAUUGUGGAAAGCAACGAGAGAGAGAGAGAGAGAGAGAGAGAGAGAGAGAGAGAGAGAGAGAGAGAGAAGAGGUAGGGUCCCACUACCCCUGUGAGGGCUUCCACCCCAGGCCCUCACCCACCAUGUUCUAACUUCCUUCCACAAGGCCCCAUUUCUUAAAGUGUCUACCACCCCUCCAUAGUGUCACGCUAUGAACUGAGCCUUUAAACCCAUGGAGCUUUGGGGACAUUUCAGAUCCAAACUAGAGCAGUUUAGAUACAAGAAAAUCAGAGCCCAAAUUUGCUCUUCGUUUGGUUACAAAGAGCAAAAUAUGUCCAAGGAGGAAACCAUGAGAGAAAGAAAGAGAAGAACUAACUAGAAAGAGAUCUAAGGUGCUCUCUAGGAGAACAAGAACAUUCUAGUGUCUUGCAGUUUGAUGAGGAUUGGGUAAAAUUUUUUAAAAGACAAUAAAAUAAUUCUCCAUUUGUCUCAUCAAAUGGUAGAAAGUUGAUCAAGAUAUUUUAAGAGACAAUAAAAUAACUCCCCAUUUGUCUUUUCUAGUGGAUUGAAACGUCCGAGUGCUACAGAUGCUACAGAUGAGACAAAGUAAGAGAUGUGUUCCUGAUCAUGUGACAAAUAGCUUUUCCAGUCAGAAGUAAAUAUAGUAAAUUCCACACCCCAUUUGUCUACGUUGGACAAAAAAAAACAAUAUUAUUCCUGUAGUGGUCAGGAAGGGACCACCCUAUAUUCAAGUAUCUGAACAGUGAUAAUACCUGGAAGAAUCUUUCAAUGCUAGACUUUAUGAAGAUGAUAAAAAAACAUUAAUUGAAAUGACUGAACAUAUGCUAUGAAAUGAGAACUAUAUGUGGUACACCAUAAAGUAUAAUUAUAUGCAAGAAGCCAUAAAUGAAUCUAUGCUGGGGUUCUGUUAUUAGGUUCCGCUGGAUCGUCACAAAAAGAAGCAGUUACCAAAACAAAACAAAAUGAAGAAACGCUUGGAUGUUUGUGAAGACGAGUAGAGUCUUUGUCCUGAU